AGAGUUUGAUCAUGGCUCAGAUUGAACGCUGGCGGCAUGCCUUACACAUGCAAGUCGAACGGCAGCACGGGGGCAACCCUGGUGGCGAGUGGCGAACGGGUGAGUAAUACAUCGGAACGUGUCCUAUCGUGGGGGAUAGCUCGGCGAAAGCCGGAUUAAUACCGCAUGUGAUCGAGAGAUGAAAGCAGGGGACCGCAAGGCCUUGCGCGAUUGGAGCGGCCGAUGUCGGAUUAGCUUGUUGGCGGGGUAAAAGCCCACCAAGGCGACGAUCCGUAGCUGGUUUGAGAGAACGACCAGCCACACUGGGACUGAGACACGGCCCAGACUCCUACGGGAGGCAGCAGUGGGGAAUUUUGGACAAUGGGGGCAACCCUGAUCCAGCCAUGCCGCGUGUGUGAAGAAGGCCUUCGGGUUGUAAAGCACUUUCGGACGGAACGAAAUCGCACGGGUGAAUAUCCCGUGUGGAUGACGGUACUGUAAGAAGAAGCACCGGCUAACUACGUGCCAGCAGCCGCGGUAAUACGUAGGGUGCGAGCGUUAAUCGGAAUUACUGGGCGUAAAGCGUGCGCAGGCUGCUUCGCAAGUCAGACGUGAAAUCCCCGGGCUUAACCUGGGAAUGGCGUUUGAAACUACGGAGCUGGAGUGUGGCAGAGGGGGGUAGAAUUCCACGUGUAGCGGUGAAAUGCGUAGAUAUGUGGAGGAAUACCGAUGGCGAAGGC
rnacentral:rRNA from 1 species